UGGGGAAUAUUGCACAAUGGGCGCAAGCAUGAUGCAGCAACGCCGCGUGAACGAUGAAGGUCUUCGGAUCGUAAAGUUCUGUUGCAAGGGAAGAUAAUGACGGUACCCUGUGAGGAAGCCCCGGCUAACUACGUGCCAGCAGCCGCGGUAAUACGUAGGGGGCUAGCGUUAUCCGGAUUUACUGGGCGUAAAGGGUGCGUAGGUGGUCUUUCAAGUCGGUGGUUAAAGGCUACGGCUCAACCGUAGUUAGCCUCCGAAACUGGAAGACUUGAGUGCAGGAGAGGAAAGUGGAAUUCCCAGUGUAGCGGUGAAAUGCGUAGAUAUUGGGAGGAACACCAGUAGCGAAGGCGGCUUUCUGGACUGCAACUGACACUGAGGCACGAAAGCGUGGGUAGCAAACAGG
rnacentral:rRNA from 1 species